GGCGCCAUCGUCUAUCGGUUAGGACUUAUGAUUUUCAAUCAUAUAAGGCGGGUUCGACUCCCGCUGGCGCUG
rfam:Candidatus Yanofskybacteria bacterium RIFCSPHIGHO2_01_FTLL_48_25b rifcsphigho2_01_scaffold_1384, whole genome shotgun sequence.